AUUGAACGCUGGCGGCAUGCCUUACACAUGCAAGUCGAACGGCAGCGGGCCUUCGGGUGCCGGCGAGUGGCGAACGGGUGAGUAAUGCAUCGGAACGUGCCAUUGAGUGGGGGAUAACGUAGCGAAAGUUGCGCUAAUACCGCAUAUUCUGUGAGCAGGAAAGCAGGGGGACCGCAAGGCCUUGCGCUCUUUGAGCGGCCGAUGUCAGAUUAGCUAGUUGGUGAGGUAAAGGCUUACCAAGGCGACGAUCUGUAGCGGGUCUGAGAGGAUGAUCCGCCACACUGGAACUGAGACACGGUCCAGACUCCUACGGGAGGCAGCAGUGGGGAAUUUUGGACAAUGGGGGCAACCCUGAUCCAGCCAUGCCGCGUGAGUGAAGAAGGCCUUCGGGUUG
rnacentral:rRNA from 1 species